UACGGAGGGGGCUAGCGUUGUUCGGAAUUACUGGGCGUAAAGCGUACGUAGGCGGCUUUGUAAGUUAGAGGUGAAAGCCUGGGGCUCAACUCCGGAAUUGCCUUUAAGACUGCAUCGCUUGAAUCAUGGAGAGGUUAGUGGAAUUCCGAGUGUAGAGGUGAAAUUCGUAGAUAUUCGGAAGAACACCAGUGGCGAAGGCGACUAACUGGACAUGUAUUGACGCUGAGGUACGAAAGCGUGGGGAGCAAACAGG
rnacentral:rRNA from 1 species